UGAAUUCCUGAAUAUUAUUCCUUAAUUGCCCUUCAAAUAUACUCCAAUUCACAGAAGUAAAGCUAACAGGUCUAUAAUUUCCAGGCAAGCCUUUUGAACCCUUUUUAAAUAUAGGAACAACAUCUGCCUUCCUUCAAUCCUCCGGUACAAUACCUGAAACAAAAGAAUCUUGAAAAAUUAAAUACAGAGGUUCACUUAUUUCCCCACUUAGCUCCUUAAGUACCCGUGGGUGAAUACCGUCAGGCCCCGGAGCUUUAUUUACAUUAAUUUUCUUUAACUGCUGUAGCA